rnacentral:rRNA from 1 species
GAGUACGGUCGCAAGAUUAAAACUCAAAGGAAUAGACGGGGACCCGCACAAGUGGUGGAGCAUGUGGUUUAAUUCGAAGAUACGCGAAGAACCUUACCUAGCCUUGACAUAUUUAAGAACACUUUAGAGAUAGAGUGGUGCCUUCGGGAGCUUUUAUACAGGUGCUGCACGGCUGUCGUCAGCUCGUGUCGUGAGAUGUUGGGUUAAGUCCCGCAACGAGCGCAACCCUCGUCACUAGUUACUAACGGUUCGGCCGAGGACUCUAGUGAGACUGCCUUCGCAAGGAGGAGGAAGGUGAGGACGACGUCAAGUCAUCAUGGCCCUUACGGCUAGGGCAACACACGUGCUACAAUGGCCAGGACAAUGAGAGGCAAUACCGCGAGGUGGAGCAAAUCUAUAAACCUGGUCUCAGUUCGGAUUGUUCUCUGCAACUCGAGAGCAUGAAGCUGGAAUCACUAGUAAUCGUAGAUCAGCUAUGCUACGGUGAAUACGUUCCCGGGUCUUGUACUCACCGCCCGUCACACCAUGGGAGUUGAUUUCACCCGAAGCGGGGAAGCUAAACUGGC